rfam:Cavia porcellus supercont2_107 genomic scaffold, whole genome shotgun sequence.
GGGGAUUUAGCUCAGCGGCAUAAGCGCCUGCCUUGCAAGCAGGCAGUUGUAGGUUCGAUCCCUGGUAUCGAUA